GCUUAGCUGUAAACCUAGAUAGCCCUAAAACCAGCUACCCGCCAGAGAAUUACAAGCGAAAAGCUUAAAACUCAAAGGACUUGACGGUGUCCCACACCAACCUAGAGGAGCCUGUCCUAUAAUCGAUAACCCACGUUAAACCUCACCUACUCUUGCAACAAAUACCAGUCUAUAUACCGCCGUCUACAGCUUACCUAAUGAUAGAAGCACAGUAAGCAAGCUAGCUAAUCACGCUAAAACGUCAGGUCAAGGUGUAACUAAUGAGCAGGCAGAGAUGGGCUACAUUUUCUAAAAUAGACCACCACCAACGGCAAAAUGAAAACACGCCUAAAAGGAGGAUUUAGAAGUAAGUUUGGACCUAGGCCACCCAAACUGAAACUAGCUCUGGGACGCGU
rnacentral:rRNA from 1 species